CAGGACCCGAGUAACCGACGGGGCUUUGUGGUUGGAAUACAAACAGCAAGUUUGCUGAGUUGCCAGAAGAGUUAGUUAGGUAAGCAGUGAUAACUUUUGAAACGGGUAUAAAAUACGACCCGGAAAAUGCUUGUUCAUAUCGAAGAAGAUGGCAGGAGAAUCAAGCAGUAUUCAAGUCAAUGGAAUGCAAUUUUCAUAUGAUUUUCAAAGUCCCAUAUAUUUCGAUUUCAAUCUCAAUGUUGCUCCCAGAUCUCGAUGUCUUCUUCUCGGUGCAAAUGGAUCAGGGAAAACGACCCUUUUGAAGAUAUUGGCGGGAAAACAUAUGGUCGGUGGAAAAGAUGUAGUCAGGGUGCUGAAUUUAUCGGCUUUUCAUGAUACUCACCUUGUUUGUAGUGGUGAUCUCGCUUACCUUGGAGAGUCUUGGAGCAAAAAUGUUGGUGCUGUUGGAGAUAUUCCACUUCAGGGAGAUUUUUCAGCUGAACAUAUGAUAUUUGGAG
rnacentral:misc_RNA from 1 species